UGCAGCUGAAGGGCUAGUUAAUGAAGACACCCUCAAGCCAUCGGUGUUGCUGACAAUGCUUGCACAUCAUUUCCAAAAGGACAGGACACUUGUGAAACUGCGCUCCUGAAAACACUGAUCGGACAGAGUCCACAUUCCAUGAUUAACACCAACAUUUUGCUGCUAGUCUCACAAAUAAUAAAAACAAC